UGGAGAUGUAGAUGAAUGGAGGGAGGCAAGAACAGAUGGAUGAAUGUGAUUGUAAAUAAAUGCAAUUUGCCUUCAUAUUUUCCCCAGUCUUUCUCAUGAAGGAAGAAGCAGGUAGCUUCCUGUAUGAGCUCUUGCAGUUGCUCUUUGCCUCCAUGUCCACUGUCUCCCUUGCCCCUUGCCCCUUGCCCACUUCCUUUCCUUCUCUUUCUUGUCCUGCUGAGCCACUGGCCUUUUCACUGGCCAGAACAAGUCCUAUCUCCUGCCCAGCUUACUGGGCCCCUGAGGUUGCAGGUGGCCGUGACUGGUUUCUGGCUUCAGCUGCCGACUGUCAUUGGAGUUGUUGGCCUAAAAGCAGUUGCUCACCCUCUCUUCAGAGCAGGUUUUAAUUGAGAGAAAGGAGAGAGGAAGAACACCCUUUCAUUUGUAUACAUCAGUGCUUCUCAACCUUCCUAGUGCUGCAACCCUUUAAUACAGUCCCUCAUGAUACGGUGACCCCCAACCGUAAACUUAUUUUUGUUGAUGCUUCAUAACUGUAAGUUUGUGGUUUUCCCAUGAUCUUAGGCAGCCCCUGUGAAAGGGUCAUUCAGUCCCCAAAGGGGUCACAGCUUACAGGUUGAGAAGUGCUUGUAUAAAGCAACACUGGACACUAGAGAGGAACUGGAGGAGAGCUAGCAUUUUGUUUGCCUUUCGUCAGCAUGCACGUCCCUCGGCCCCGGCAUUUGAUACUUGAAUGAUUGGCAGCUCCAGUGCUGUCUGCUCCCUGCCCUAUCCAUCCUCUAAAGAACGCUCAACCGAGGCUUCAGCAUCCUUCUACACGGCCUCUGGCUAGUGCAGCUCAGGCAUCUCAGUGAGAGGUCAGGUUAGCUCUGGAAGCCUGGGUCCAAGAUAUCAGAUGACAGAACGUUGGUCCUGGCUGAGGACUGUGCUUCCUGCCUCUGGGUCUCACACGGGGCACCCAGCGAAGGAAGCACCAUAAUGGCUGGAAAAUGAAGCUUGUGUUCUUGUAAUCAAAUCACUCAUGCAGAGCUUUCCGAUCAACCCGAGCUGUUGCAUCCAAGGUGGAUUCCCUGCGUUGUAUUUGGGUCAGAUCAAUGGGAAGGACACAUGACUUGCUUUAAAAUUAGCCUCAAAACUUAUUAUAUAAUAGUUCUGGUUUUCACUGAGAAUAGUUGGGCUUUUAUAAGGACACACACAAAGCAUUUCUAGGUAGUAUAUCUGAUUGGUUCAUCUUAGAGAAAAUCCUUUAGAUUCUCCGAGAUGCCACAUUUCUACCUAUAAAAGGAUGCCGUGGGAUUUGUAUGAAAGAAAGAUUAACAAAACUAACCAUCUUAUCUAGGACGCAGAGAGGGAGAGGGAGGGGGAGGGAGGGAGAAUCUCAGGUUGUCAAUGAAGAGAACAAUCUCUUCUGCCCAGAAGAACAGGAUGAAACUAGAAAGAAACCAUCCCUCCCUAAAUGAUGCUGUCAGCCAAAGCCUGGCUUAACAUUCUGGGAGGUUCCUAAGCUCGAAGAAGAUUUUAUAUCUUAAGAAAAAAGCUUUUUUUUUCCUGACUAUUUCCCCUGUGACAGUGAGACUUGUUCACACAAAUUCGAAAUCAGCAAAAACGGUUACCGGAAAAGCCACCUUCCCGCUGUCCUUCACAGAGAAAGCUGGUUUCCCAGAUUUCUGAUUCACCUUGGCUGUGUCUGCAGACAAGCCUGAAUGACCUAGAGGCCAAGGAGAUGCAAAGAAUUUUGUGUGGCUGCAGAAAAUACAUUUCUAUAGUCAGGAGCAUGUUGUGGUUUGAAUAGGAACGACUCCCAUAGACUUGUGUGUUUGAAUACUUGACCAUGGAGAGUGGCAUUAUUGGGAGGUGUGGCCUUGCUGAAGGAAAUGUGUCAAUGUGGAGGCAGGCUUUGUGGUCAUAUAUGCUCAAGCUAUGCCCAGUAUGGUAUAUAUAGUCUCCUUACGUUACCUACCAAUCAAGAUGCAGAGCUCUCAACUCUCAGCUACCUCUCCAGCACCAUGUCUGCCCGUGUGCAUGCCGAAACUUCCCACCAUGAUGACAAUGAACCUCUGAAACUGUAAGCCAGCCCCAAGUAAACAUUUGCCUUUAAAAGAGUUGCUGUGGUGCCUGCACAUCAGGAAACCCUAAGACAGAGAAGGAGGUAGGAGGGCCCAGAGCUCAAGGCCAGCCUCAGGGACACAUUGAGUUGGGGGCCAGCCUGGGCUAUGUGAAACUCCAUCUCAAAUCAAAAGCAUAACCACUUUAUAGCAAAUAGAAAACAAUUUUCCUGUGAUCCACCAAACUAAACAGGUGCUUGAUUAUCAUUUAUGCUUCAUAUGUCAUGUGACUGAGGGCCAGAGACAAGGUGCUUUAAAAACUAGACCUUGAGCUGGCUAGGUGACUCAGUGGGUCAGGGUGCUUGUCACCAGCCCAGACAACCUGAGUUUGAACCCCAGGCCCCCGUAGUGGAGGAAGAGAACUGAUUCCUGUGGGUUGUGCUCUGGCUUCGACAUGUGUGCCAUGACGUGCACACAUCAGCACACACACACACACACACACACACACACACACACACACACACACACACACACACACAAGUAAAGCUGAAGAAGAAAGCUGGCCCUCUCGUCAUAGAGGGACAUGUGUGCAGUACCUGCGGGGGCCAGAAGAGGGCAUUAGAUCCUUUGGAACUACAGUUAGGGAUGGUGGCAAGCUGCCUGGUAGAUACUGGGGAACUCGGAUCUGGCUCUCUGGAAGAUUAGCCAGUACUCUUUUUUUUUUUUUUUUUGGUUCUUUUUUUCAGAGCUGGGGACCGAACCCAGGGCCUUGCGCUUCCUAGGUAAGCGCUCUACCACUGAGCUAAAUCCCCAGCCCCUAGCCAGUACUCUUAACCACUGAGCCAUCUUUGUAGUCCAAGUUAUUAUUUGGUAAUGGUUUGUCUUAAUCAUGCCAUAUCAUAUGCAACUUAAUACAUACAUCAAGUAUUCAUUUCCAAAUUUGAUUUAGUCUAAUAAACAUCAUAGUCCAGCUAUUUCUUUAGGUUGCUGAUUUUUGCUUAUUUUGACCACAAACCCAAAUAUGAACAUGGCUCUUCAAAUUCCCUCCACACCUGCACCCUAAAUUUAUCAGCCACCGAGGCCACCGAGUUUCACCUCUCUUACCAGCCCAGAAGUCUUUCCUCCCUCAGAACGUUAUAAAUCAGCACUCCUUCAGAACCCAAGAACUUCCUAUCCUAACCAUGCCUUGCAUCAGAACUGUAAUUUUGCUAAUCAGGACGUUUAUUUGCCUCACAGGGCUCGUACAUGCUGCCCAAGCUUCCUUGCGUUAAUAUUCAUAUGCAAACCUGUCUCGUCUGACUUGUAAUAAGUGUGUGCCUGACAGGCGGCUUGCCCCCCACAGACCAUGAAGGAGUUACUGCACAAGGUGCCAGGCUGUGUGAGGCUGGCGUUCCCUCUGCACUCCCAGGGCGAGCCAGCACCAUCUCCUGAGUAGGCGUGCAGGCUGGAGAUGGCCCGCGUGCUUCCCUGUCUCUCUGCUGUCCUCCUUUUUCCAAGGGUCAGAAGGACAGACAGUUAACCUAGAUGAAGCACAACGACCAUGUAAGCGAAUAGGUCCUGAACUGUUUAAACUGCAAACAAGCAUGUCACCUGCUCAGGUGACCCUGCCUGUGAAAAUCUGUGCCGACAGCGUAACAGAUAGCAGCCACCCACAGUGCUAGCCUCAACACACUGUCCUGGAGUUCUCCUGACCUCAAGCUGCCCCAGACACCCAAGAGGGUAAACCAGCGCUACACUCCUAAUGGCGCCUUGCCAGUCCACCAGCUGGCUGAACAGAACAUCAAUGGCUUGUGCUCUAGGAUCAACAAUUGACAAAUGGGACUUUGUAAAAUUGCAAAGCUUCUGUAAGGCAGAGGACACUGUCAUUAGAACAAAACGGCAACCAACAGAUUGGGAAAAGAUCUUUACCAAUCCUACAUCCAAUAGAGGGCUAAUAUCCAAUAUAUACAAAGAACUCACGAAGUUAGACUCCAGAGAAUCAAAUAACCCUAUUAAAAAAUGGAGUACAGGGGGCUGGAGAGAUGGCUCAGAGAUUCAGAGCACUGUCUGCUCUUCCAGAGGUCCUGAGUUCAAUUCCCAGCAACCACAUGGUGGCUCACAACCAUCUAUAAUCAGAUCUGGUGCCUUCUGGCCUGCAAGCAUACAUGCAGGCAGAAAGCUGUAUGACGUAUACAUAAUAAAUAAAUAAAUGUUUUUAAAAAAUGGAGUACAGAAUUAAACAAAGAGUUCUCAACUGAGGAGUAUCGAAUGGCCAUGAAGCACCUAAAGAAAUGUUCAACAUCCUUAGUCAUCAGGGAAAUGCAAAUUUAAACAACCCUGAAAUUCUACCUCACACCAGUCAGGAUGGCUAAGGUCAAAAACUCAGGUGAGCAGAUGCUGACAGCAGAUGCUGGUGAGGAUGUGGAGAAAGAGGAACACUCCUCCAUUGUUGGUGGGAUUGCAGACUGGUACAACCAUUCUGGAAAUCAGUCUGGAGGUUCCUCAGAAAAUUGGACAUUGAACUACCUGAGGACCCAGCUAUACCUCUCGGGCAUAUACCCAAAAGAUGCCCCAACAUAUAACAAAGACACAUGCUCCACUAUGUUCAUAGCAGCCUUAUUUAUAAUAGCCAGAAGCUGGAAAGAACCCGGAUGUCCCUCAGCAGAGGGAUGGAUACAGGAAAUGUGGUACAUCUACACAGUGGAGUACUAGUCAGAGGCCGUGAACCUGAGUCUUAACUCACCACCACAGCACUUCACCAGGCUCGUGGGCUCCACCUUCUGGCCACUGCUCCCCUGCCUGGCCUGUCCGUUGACUAUACUGGUGAAUCUCAGCUGCAGCAAUUUCGCUGGAUUCCUGCUAGCCAGGGACAGUUUGGGAUGGCACAGCCUGGGCACAGGAGGUUUCCCAGGGUUGGGUGGGUGGUGUGCAGAGACUCUGGGAACCCUGGGAGUAAACAGCAGAUCCACCCAAGGAUGUGUACUCUGUCCCAGCAUGCUGGUCAGCCAAGGCUGUGAAGUCCUAGGGGCAGGCCUCACAUGGACCCUUACCCUUGCAUCUGGUUCUUGCUUCUUUUAUUGAUCCUCAAUAAAAUCAUGGUCCCAAAUCUAUUCUUCCUUGGAUGUGGACGUCAUAUUCCUUUUACCUCAUCUUAAACUUCAAAUUCUCUGUGUGGCCACAUCUUCAUGUAAAGCUUCUUGUAUGCUCUAACACACACACACACACACACACACACACACACACACACCCUGAUAUAUCAAGCAGAUGAUGCUGGAAAGUCUCAGUGGUCGAGGUCACAUAACUGCUCUUGAAAGAAGUUCGGGAUUCACACAUGCAUUCAAAUAAUAAUAAUAAUAAUAAUAAUAAUAAUAAUAAUAAUAAUAAUAAUAAUAAUGAUAAACAAGUCUUGUUAAAAAUUGUUAAAGUCUGCAGGAUCAGUUUAGUGAAUGAUAAUCCAUUGCUUUUCACACUGUGGUUUUGGGGUUUUAGUUCCGAGAGAAAAAGACUAUUCUAUAACAACCCUUUACUGCUUUCUCUGGUUCCUUCGCGGGGCUAACCGGUGCUGCCUCUGUAACCAGUGUGUGCUCCUCUUGCAGUUUGGCUCUUUGCUUGGGAUGUUUGUUUCUCGUUAUGUCCAGGGGUGCUUUGCCUGCAUGUGUGGCUGGGCACUGUGCGUGUGCAUCGUCUGGGAGGCCAGAAAAGUAUGCUUCAUCUCUCGGAAUUGAAGUCAGAGACUCUGUAAGCUGCAUAUGGUACUGAGACUUGAACCUGGCUCCUCUACCAGAGCAGCUGAUGGCCUUAACCUCAGCGCUCUCUCUCCAGCCCUCUUGUGUGGUUGGUUUUUUGUUGGUGGUGGUGGUGGUGGUUGGUUGGUUGAUUGGUUGGUUGGUUCAGUUUGGUUCUUAUGUUGUUGAUUUAUUUUUAAUUUUAAUUCUUUCUAUCAACCCUCUUUUUACUGUGUGCCUUACAUAAUCCUAAUUUCAAUAUUCAUGACAUCCGUUCUCAACACCGGUAUAGCUCUUUGAAAACUGGAGCUCAUCCAAGCAGUAGGCUGAAUAAUGCUUCUCACCUCUAUCCUAUGCCCACAAGAUGUAAGUACGCUAUCUUCCAUGACAACAGCGACCUGGAGGCUGUCCUGAGGUGGGGACGUGAUUAUAGGGUGGACCCAGCACGGCAGGAAUGUGGGUUUGUGGGAGUUUUCCUCAUUUCAGGUGCCAGUGUUUUGCCUGCAUGCAUGCGUGUGCACCAUGUGAGCACCUGGUCCCCAAGGACAUCAGAGGAGGACAAUGGAUCCCUGGGACUGGAGUUAUGGGUGGUUGCAAACCAUCCCGAAGGUGCUAGGAAUUGGACCCAGGUUCUUCUCCAGAGCAAAAAAUGCUCUUAACCACAGAGCCAUCUCUCCAGCCCCACACAUGGCUUAAAGGGGAGAGUGCAUCCCACUGCAGCAGAGAAAGACUUGAAGCUAGAGGGAUUGUCUUCACGCUGAAGGGCUUGGAGACAGAGGAAGGAGCUGCAUUAGUUAGCCUUUUAAAAGACAAGAUUUCACAUAGCCCAGGCUAGCCUCCAGCUCACUAUGUAGUUGAGGAUGGCCCUUGAAGUAGUCCUCCUGCUCUAGCCUCCUGAGUGCUAGGAUUAGAGACAUGUUCCACCAUGCUCGACCUGUCAACUUGUCACUGCUGUAACAAAGGAGCCUAGCUUAUAAAGUAAGAGGUCUAAGUUAUACCUGUGGAGGCUGAAAGUCCAGGUGGCUUACCUCAGGUUAAUGAGGGGCUGUGACAAAUGGCAAGGCACGGGCAGGAAGAAAUGAGGAGCUGAGAAAAACCAUUGGGCCAGGUUGGCUUAAAUAAACUAUCUGUGAGAUCAAGGGGCCAUGUGAGAAUGCCUUAGUGUCCUUUUGAGGACAUCCCUCCAAAGAUCCAAGAACAUUCCGUUGGCCUCCAGUGUUUAGAUCCCACCACUUCCCAGUGCACUGUCCUGGAGACCAAGGCUCCACCACUCAUCCCAGAGGAGACACUCAUCCCACCCAGGGAGCUGAAAGAAUCCAGCAGCCCUGAGGAGCUGCAAAGGGCAAGGGCUAGUCCUCUGCAGCCUACAGAAGUGAAUGAAGCCUGCCCAUUCCUUCCCUCGAGGCCAGACUGUAGCUAUAGAUGUAGCUAAGAUUGGCCUUAAAUUCCUGAUCUUCCCUUCCCUCCUCACCAGUGCUGGAAUUAUAAGCAGGGGCCACCAUGCCUAGUUAUGGAAUCUUAUUUCAUUAGAGUUCUGAAAUUGAAAUGCCCAAUCUCAAGCUUGCCUGAAGCUGGCACGCGCCAGCAUUGUCCAACGUGAGAAUACAAGUCUGUAAAGCAGCUUCCUGGAAGGGCCACACAUGCAUUUCCUCUGCAUCUUGCAUCUUCCUGCCUUGGUCUAGAGGUUACAUGUGGAGAGGCAGCCAUCUUGUAACUUGGAGGGCAUUAGUCGUUUUCCAAGGGUGAUGAGUGUGAGCAUAGGAAAAGCCUGAGCUCAGGUGAUGUCACCUCAUGAAGUUGGACAGUUUUUGGGUCAUCCUGAGAUUGUGAGAAAAACUAUUUUCUGGUUGAGCUAUCAUAUUUGUUUUGUGUAAUCAAAUAUCCAUUUGAUGACAACAAUAAAGCUUUAAUGCUUAUGUGACUAUCAUAAAAUUUUACUCUGUAAUCAUGGCCUUGGGAGUGGGGGUGGGCAUUGAGAGAGUCUUCCUAUGUAGCCUAGGCUAUCCUGCUUUAGCCUCCUACAUGUUGAAAUGGCAGGCAUGCACCUCCACACUUGACCGGCUUUCUUUAUGGAAAGUCAUUCAUGAGUCAGGAGAAGUUUGCAGGGUAGGCCAGAAGAAGGAUCCCGGAAGUUACCUGAGUCAGUGGCUCUCUAAGUGAGGCCAGACCAACAACUUUCAGCAGCACAGAGUGACCAAUUAGAAUUAUGAGCAUCUGCCAGGCCCUGCCCCACACCCUCUGCAUCCAGAUUCUGAAGGUGCCCAGGCUGAGUGUUUUUGCAAGGUCACUUGGUGAUCCUCACAUACAGUCAGAUGGUGCUGGACUUACAGCAGGGCUUCCUGCAAUAAACCCACCAUACACUAAUUUGUAAAGUUCUGUUUUUGUUUUUGACAGGUCUCCUGUAGCCCAGGCUAGUGUCAAAAUUUGCUGAACUUAAAUUCUUGGUCCUCUUGCCUCUGCCUCUGAGGUGCUAGGAUUAUAUACAUGUGCUACGACAUCUUGCUAUAAAUAUCUAGAAAGAAGGUGAGUUGCAAGUUCAUUUAAUCCCCUUAACCCACAAAAUAUCAGAUGUUAGCAAGACAGUGAACACAUUGCCCUGUUUUGGGAUUACUAGUCCAAGUAGGGCCUUGUGUUGCAAAAUGAAACAGUAACUGGAAAAAAAAAUUCAAAAUUAAAAAAAAAAAUUCAGAGCGUGCUUUUCCCAAAGCAGGUACCAUGCUCACAUCAGCAAAAGGUCAAAAGAUGGCAAAUCCAAACACCAUAGCUUGGAACCUCGUGCACACUACGGUUGCAGAACCGUGAGCCCAGGAGACAUGUCCGCCUCAGGCACGCAGAACCCACAGAGGUGCAACAGAAUGAAAACAGCUCAAUUUGAUCCAUGCACCCUGCUCACAGCCAACAGUGCCCCCGCUUUCUGCACUAGGAAUGGAGCUCCAAGCCCCAAGCGUGCCGGGCAAGUAAGUGCUCUACUGAACCGUAGAGCUGAGUGUUCGUGGGCAAUCACCUUUUGGUACGUUGGCCUGGUUAUACCUAAAAUACUAACACCACCUAUACUUUAAGGCAGAAGGGAAUUAAGUAGGCCAGGGGAGACACCCAUGUGUUAAAGAACAAAGGCCUCCAACUACAACCAGUGCCCACUUGUGAGCUCUGAGAACAAGACACCCAGGCAGCAGCCCAGGAAGCUGUGCCUAAGCCUGCAGAUCACUGCAGCAUCAGGGGACAUUGCUGAACAAGACAACAUGGAAACAGCUGCUUCUGAGUCCAGCCGUUCCCAAGUGUGCCACCCCCAGAGAGUGAGAAAGAUGUCUGCUCAAGACUACAGGAGUCCCUAAGUUCAUUCUCUCACAGGUAACCUGUAGGGAGCGGCACAUAUAGAUUAAAAAGAUGGCGCUGACAUCCGGUGGUCGUUUGUGGUAAACACCCACAAAGCGCAUGUGUUGGCAUUUCUCCGGCAGCUAUCAGGCUGGAGUGAUAUUCAUGCUAAUGAGGUAUUUCAUGCUCCACCAUUCCCUAGAGGACAAAAAUAUAGCCAUAGCCUGUUUUGUAUAUAAGGCUAGUGCCUUUGUUGCUCGGGGUCCCCAUAUCAACAAUGAGGUGUUCCUGCAAUAAAGGCUGUUGAGAAAAAUC